UACGUAGGGGGCAAGCGUUGUCCGGAUUUAUUGGGCGUAAAGAGCGUGUAGGCGGCCGCACAGGUCCGUUGUGAAAACUGGAGGCUUAACCUUCAGACGUCGAUGGAAACCGUGCGGCUAGAGUCCGGAAGAGGAGAGUGGAAUUCCUGGUGUAGCGGUGAAAUGCGUAGAGAUCGGGAGGAACACCAAUGGCAAAGACGGCCAUCUGGAUCAACACUGACGCUGAAGCACGAAAGCGUGGAGAACAAACAGG
rnacentral:rRNA from 1 species